GUAAAUAAUUAAGGGCGUAUGGUGGAUGCCUAGGCUCUCAGAGGCGAAGAAGGACGUGAUAAGCUGCGAAAAGCUCCGUUUAGGUGCAAAUAACCUUUGAUGCGGAGAUUUCCGAAUGGGAUAACCCAAUAUGUUGAAGACAUAUUAUACCGUAAGGUAGGCAAACGCAGGGAACUGAAACAUCUAAGUACCUGCAGGAGAAGAAAACAAACGUGAUUCCCCCAGUAGCGGCGAGCGACCGGGGAAAAGCCCAAACCGUUAUUGUUUCGGCAGUAGCGGGGUAGUAGGACUGCGACAUUGAUGAAAUAAAUGAAAUGGAACACCUUGGAAAAUGUGAUCACAGAGGGUGAUAAUCCCGUACAUGCAAGUUUAUGAAUCAUAGCAGACUCCUGAGUAAGUCGGGACACGUGUAAUCCUGACCGAAUCCGCCGGGACCAUCCGGCAAGGCUAAAUACUCCCGAGAGACCGAUAGUGAACCAGUACCGUGAGGGAAAGGUGAAAAGCACUUCGAACAGAAGAGUGAAAUAGUCCCUGAAACCAUACGCCUACAAGCUGUCGGAGCCGCUUCGUGCGGUGACGGCGUGCCUUUUGCAUAAUGAGCCUACGAGUUACUCAUCACCAGCGAGGUUAAGUACUUCAGGUACGUAAGCCGAAGCGAAAGCGAGUCUGAAUAGGGCGUCAAGUUGGUGGUGGUAGACGCGAAACCUUAGUGAUCUACCCAUGGGCAGGGUGAAGGUUUGGUAACACAAACUGGAGGCCCGAACCGGUAAACGUUGAAAAGUUUUCGGAUGACCUGUGGGUAGGGGUGAAAGGCCAAUCAAACUGGGAAAUAGCUCGUACUCUCCGAAAUGCAUUUAGGUGCAGCCUCUGUUGUUUUGUUCUAGAGGUAGAGCUACUGAUUGGAUGCGAGGGCUUCACCGCCUAUCAAAUCCGGCCAAACUCCGAAUGCUAGAACAUGAAGACAGGGAGUGAGCCAGCGGGUGCUAAGGUCCGUUGACGAAAGAGGGAGAACUCAGACCAUCAGCUAAGGUCCCCAAUUGUAUGCUAAGUUGGAAUUAAAACGGGGUGGGACUGCUUAGACAGCUAGGAUGUUGGCUUGGAAGCAGCCAUUCAUUUAAAGAGUGCGUAACAGCUCACUAGUCGAGCGGUCCUGCAUGGAUAAUACGCGGGCAUAAGCAUAUAACCGAAGCUAUGGGAUUGUAGAUGAUACAAUCGGUAGGAGAGCAUUCCAUUCAGCAUAGAAGCAGUACCGUGAGGUAUUGUGGAGCGGAUGGAAAAGCAAAUGUAGGCAUAAGUAACGAUAAUGCGGGUGAGAACCCCGCACGCCGAAAGAUCAAGGAUUCCCCGGCAAUGUCAAUCAUCCGGGGGUAAGUCGGAUCCUAAGGGUAAGCCGAGUGGCGAUCCCGAUGGCAAACAGGUUAAUAUUCCUGUACUGAUCAUAACUGCGAUGCAGCGACGCAGAGGUGACACUGCUGCGUACUGACGGAAUAGUACGUUGAAACCCGUAUUCUUUGAUACCGGUAGUGAAGCACGCCGGUAGAGAUGAAAGGUGAUAGUACCGCAAUGCUUCGGUUGCGCGGAUAAUGCAGGUAAGCUGACUGCCAAGAAAACCUGCUAAGCUUCAGGUAAUGAUCAUCCGUACUGUAAACGGACACACGUGAUCAGGUAGAAAAUACUAAGGCGCUCGAGAGAUUCAUGGUUAAGGAACUAGGCAAAAUGGUCCUGUAACUUCGGGAUAAAGGACGCUCUUGUGAAAGAGCCGCAGAUAAUAGGCCCAGGCGACUGUUUACCAAAAACACAUGGCUAUGCUAAUUCGCAAGAAGAUGUAUAUGGCCUGACACCUGCCCGGUGCCGGAAGGUUAAGAGGAGAGCUCAGAGGCAACUCGAAGGUUUGAAUUGAAGCCCCGGUAAACGGCGGCCGUAACUAUAACGGUCCUAAGGUAGCGAAAUUCCUUGUCGGGU
rnacentral:rRNA from 1 species